CGCGGAGAGCAGCUGACCCCUCAGAGAGGACAGCCUCAGGGGAAAGGUACAGCUUACACAAAGUGGUGGUUCACUGAUUUCCUCCGAAAGGCGUGUCCUCUGACUGCGUCCAUCUUAAAGUCUCUGGCGUGCUUAGUCCUGCACUCGACACCACCCACGACUUGGGGUCUCAAAGAAGGUCAUAUGUCAUCAUUCAACUUCCGUGGACCAUCUGCUUCCAGAAUUCCUCGGAGAAGCUCAGUUUAAGAUCUCCAAUUGCUGUAAUUUUCCCAUUUUGGUCACUUGAGAAUGGGUGAUGGGUAUUGUUUUAAUUGAGUAAUGUGCACUUAAAGAUUAAAUCCUUGCAAUUUCAUAAGUGUUUGCUAGUUAUGAAUACAGGAUAUGGUCUUUGCCAGUGAGGCUGAAAGACAGCCCUUCUUUGAUGUCUUUUCCAGAAC
rnacentral:lncRNA from 1 species